rnacentral:rRNA from 1 species
CCUACGGGUGGCAGCAGUCGGGAAUAUUGCGCAAUGGAGGAAACUCUGACGCAGUGACGCCGCGUGCAGGAAGAAGGUUUUCGGAUUGUAAACUGCUUUAGACAGGGAAGAAAAAAGACAGUACCUGUAGAAUAAGCUCCGGCUAACUACGUGCCAGCAGCCGCGGUAAUACGUAGGGAGCAAGCGUUAUCCGGAUUUACUGGGUGUAAAGGGAGCGUAGACGGCGAUGCAAGUCUGAAGUGAAAGGCGGGGGCCCAACCCCCGGACUGCUUUGGAAACUGUAUGGCUGGAGUGCAGGAGAGGUAAGUGGAAUUCCUAGUGUAGCGGUGAAAUGCGUAGAUAUUAGGAGGAACACCAGUGGCGAAGGCGGCUUACUGGACUGUAACUGACGUUGAGGCUCGAAAGCGUGGGGAGCAAACAGGAUUAGAUACCCUUGUAGUC